GCCGGGGUGGCAGAGUGGUAAAACUGGUCCACACAUGCGCUGGCCUCGAGAGCCAGUGGCUCUUACGGGCCUCAUGGGUUCAAAUCCCAUCCCCGGCGCCA
rnacentral:tRNA from 1 species